rnacentral:rRNA from 1 species
UGGGGAAUAUUGCACAAUGGGCGAAAGCCUGAUGCAGCAACGCCGCGUGAGCGAUGAAGGCCUUUGGGUCGUAAAGCUCUGUCCUAGGGGAAGAAUAAAUGACGGUACCCUUGGAGGAAGCCCCGGCUAACUACGUGCCAGCAGCCGCGGUAAUACGUAGGGGGCAAGCGUUAUCCGGAAUUAUUGGGCGUAAAGAGUGCGUAGGUGGUUUUGUAAGCGCGGGGUGAAAGGCAAUAGCUCAACUAUUGUAAGCCCUGCGAACUGUGAGACUUGAGUGCAGGAGAGGAAAGCGGAAUUCCUAGUGUAGCGGUGAAAUGCGUAGAUAUUAGGAGGAACACCAGUGGCGAAGGCGGCUUUCUGGACUGUAACUGACACUGAGGCACGAAAGCGUGGGGAGCAAACA